UACCAGCACCCCGAGUGGUCGGGACGUUUUAUUGGGCCUAAAGCAUCCGUAGCCGGUUCUACAAGUCUUCCGUUAAAUCCACCUGCUUAACAGAUGGGCUGCGGAAGAUACUAUAGAGCUAGGAGGCGGGAGAGGCAAGCGGUACUCGAUGGGUAGGGGUAAAAUCCGUUGAUCCAUUGAAGACCACCAGUGGCGAAGGCGGCUUGCCAGAACGCGCUCGACGGUGAGGGAUGAAAGCUGGGG
rnacentral:rRNA from 1 species